rnacentral:rRNA from 1 species
UACGUAGGGGGCAAGCGUUGUCCGGAAUUAUUGGGCGUAAAGCGCGCGCAGGCGGCCUUGUAAGUCUGUUGUUUAAACUUGGGGCUCAACCCCGAGUCGCAAUGGAAACUGCAAAGCUUGAGUACAGAAGAGGAAAGUGGAAUUCCACGUGUAGCGGUGAGAUGCGUAGAGAUGUGGAGGAACACCAGUGGCGAAGGCGACUUUCUGGGCUGUAACUGACGCUGAGGCGCGAAAGCGUGGGGAGCAAACAGG